AACGAACGCUGGCGGCAUGCCUAACACAUGCAAGUCGAACGAAGCCUUCGGGCUUAGUGGCGCACGGGUGCGUAACGCGUGGGAAUCUGCCCCUGGGUUCGGAAUAACAGUUAGAAAUGACUGCUAAUACCGGAUGAUGUCUUCGGACCAAAGUUUUAUCGCCCAAGGAUGAGCCCGCGUAGGAUUAGGUAGUUGGUGGGGUAAUGGCCCACCAAGCCGACGAUCCUUAGCUGGUCUGAUAGGAUGCUCAGCCACACUGGGACUGAGACACGGCCCAGAAUCCUGCGGGAGGCAGCAGUGGGGAAUAUUGGACAAUAGGCGAAAGCCUGAUCCAGCAAUGCCGCGUGAGUGGUGAAGGCCUUAGGGUUGUAAGCUCUUUUACCAGGGAUGAUAAUGACAGUACCUGGAGAAUAAGCUCCGGCUAACUCCGUGCCAGCAGCCGCCGCAG
rnacentral:rRNA from 1 species